AUGGCUGAUGACCAACAUGAGGAAGUUAGUAAAGUAUCCGCGGAAGAAGAAAUUCGAAGAGGCAUCACAGUAAUGCGAAGGGUGGUCCAAGGAAGAUCUCGAGGCAUCAUACUAGAUGUCUCUUGGAACAACCAGGGACAACUUAUAGAACCUAAUGGGCAUACCUUAACUAGUUUCAUCGGUGCACUAGUAAGGAAUGAAAUUC
rnacentral:lncRNA from 1 species